rnacentral:lncRNA from 1 species
CUGCUCCGCCGCCACCCUGCCCCGGCUCUGCUCCACCACCGCUACCGCUGCUGCCCGUGGGAGGGGAACCAGAGAGACGAACGGGUACGAAGAAAUCGAGACGACGAGAUCGGGAUCGCAAGGGGCGGACGCGCUGCAGCCGUUCGGUGGCCAGCCCCCGAAUAUCCACGCGCGCCUCACGGGAGCGCAGCGGUGGGCACGUCUUCUCUUUAGAUUUCCCGUACAUUCAUUUGUUUUGUUCACACGAAGAAGUGACUUCUGUUCGCUCAGAGCAUUUCCAGCCGUCGCCCACAAACGCCCAUCAAACGUCAAAUGGGACGUCGGCGCGGCCUUCGGGGGCCGGCUCAAGCUGAAAAGCAACACGGGGCACCACUAUUGUGAGACAAAGCAAAUUGGGGAGGAGGGCAACGUUUGGGGGGUGCGGCUGGGUCGGUUUCAUCCCAAACGAAUUGCUUGCAUCGACACCCCUGUAUGGCCAUGUGCCGAACGAUUUAUGGGGGGAUGAGUGGAGAUGCUUUUAGAUCGUCUAAAAAUUCAAAACGGAUGUAUAAAAACAAGGAAGAAAAAAAAUCAUGUAUUUGGAAACUAAUUAAGAAUGGUAUAACAAGGCAUCGUCUAAGGCCUCUCGCGCAACCAAACCCAAGAGCCGCGCAGUCACCUUAGAUGGCAUUUCUGGAUGUUCGAUUUUAUCAUACUAGAUGAUGCCCCGUGCAUUGUUGCGGAAAUUUUUAGUUAACAUACGUGAGCCCACGUUGUGAAGAACAUACAUGAGUAAAAAGUAGCAACAAAAGAGUAUCCAGUGAAAAUAUAAUGGAAUUGUAUGAUAGAUUAUAGAUUCUUCACUUAGUGAAAAUAGCUUGAUGAAAAGUAGCAUGCAUGCAUGUGCAAAAAAUAUAAGUUUCCACCAAAUAGGUAUGAAUAAAUUAACGCUUGCAUGUUGAGAGAAAUCAAGUAGUUGAUUUCUCCUACUUAGAUAUAGAAGAUUCCCAUUUGGGCCACGGAUAGACUCUUCAUGGAAAUUAGUAUUUCAUAAUUCCGCAAAAGCGACAAUUCUUAACAACAUAUAUGUUCAAAUUGAUCGAGCUGCGAAUUCGGUUGCGCAUGGGGUCGAUAAAUAUUGUAAGGGUGUGAGCAGUAGGGGUGAGUUGUAUGGCGAGGUACCCUCCUGCGUGUUGGAACUAGUCGAAACUGAUUGUACAUAUAUUGUUUAAGCAACACUUAAAAUGAACAUGCAUUUGGAAAGCCAAUUAAGUGAGAGUGAGAGGAAAGACAUAUCUUUGGACAACAUAAGAAUGUUCAUUGGCCUACCAUAAAUUAUUUUGUUGUGUUCACAUCAAGAAGCAAUUUUUUCUUACACGCUUUGGCCGUCUAAAAUUAAAAAUGGCUCUAUAAACACCCAAAAAACAUUACCAUGCAUAAGCAACACUUAAAAUCAUUUAUUUGUAUGAUGUUUUUGCUCAUGACAUACUAUAUAAUAAUCAGAAGUUCACAAAUGAAAGAUGGUCUUUAAAUAUAUUUUUUCUCGUGCUUCUGAUAAUUUGUAGAUCAAAAUAAUAAUAAUUAUUUUCCUGAAAAGCAAUAAUAUUUAUGGUGACUAUAGAACCGAACAAAAAAAAUGCAGAGGAAGGAAUUCCACGGUCGCUGCAUUGAUUGUUACACUUAACCUCAUGAUUUUAUUACUAGUUCGAUGUUCGACGUGAUCACAAUCAUCUUACAAAAAUGGUAACACAAACAAAAGGCUACAAAGCACUAUGAAGCACCAAUCGCUGAAACAUCACCCCUACUGGUUGAAUAAAUCUUGUGCGGUUGUGCCACUUUCUUCAAUCGAUUGUACCAAUGUCCAUAGAAGUAAUUAGGACUGAUCUGACCUUACGGUGGCCGCGGCGUCAUUGCGGCAGGGCUAGCUCAGUCCGGCUGUGCAUCUAUGGACGCUGGUCCUUCGACGUCUCUCCCCUUUCAUGAGGCGUCGUCGAGGUACUCCCGCAUCACUCCGCUCUAGAUUUCCAGGUAAAAACCUAAAGUCCUCGGACUAAGCAGCGACGAUGCUGGUAGCGUCGUUCUCACUUCUCCCCUUGGGGUCGCCGUUGGGGGAACACUAUAUCUGUGGACGAGGGGAUGUUUGUCGCCGGCUAGGCACUUACUUGUCUGGUUCUGGUUUGCGUCGUCGUUCUCUGGUAAGUUUAAUGUGUUGUUCUCUAUUUUAAAGAUAUGUUGGCGAAAGACGGUGACGGCUGACGUGUGAGCAUGUUGAGAGUUGACUUGAUCGGUUGGACCUUCGUGUCCCCGGCCGGAUGAUGGACGGUGGCGUGCGUUCAGCUUGGCCACAUCCUUUCUUCAGGAUAGUAAGUACAUGGUGGUGGUUUUGGUUGGUAUACAAUUUAUGGCUUCCAUGAAACCAAACUAUGCCCCGAUCAGACAAUGUAAACGCCAAAAAAUUAUUUUAAGACACUUCCAGCACAUGAAAGCUGAAGUCCUCGCAUGUACAAGGACCGCUGUGCUGUCCCAAGUUAACAGAACAUAAACAAACAAAACAAAUGAUUACGACUACUCAACUUCACUCUCGGCUGGAGCUCCACCGAUCUCACUAACCUCCUGGACCAUCCGCGCCAGGUUCUCAAACGAGGAACCACCCACAUCCAUGGCCUUUCUAGAAGCCAUCGAGAGCUCAGCGGCCCCCGCAGCGGCACGUCUCCCUCCUUCUCCCAACACCAGCUCCCGUGCCGACGCCUGCACGUCUCCGCUCACAACCAACCCUCCUUCUUUGUGCCAGACUCUAAGCCCGGCAUGGACCACGUCCACGACGAACUUCGCGUUGAGCUUCUGCUCGGCGGCCAUCGGGAACGCCAGCAUGGGCACGCCCGUGGCGAUGCUCUCCAGCACCGAGUUCCACCCGCAGUGGGUGAAGAAUCCUUUGGUGGCUCCGUGGCUUAGGACUUGUAGCUGGUUGAUGAAGCCUUGUACCACCUUGCCCCUGUCUCCGAACCUGUCCUUGAUGAUGAGUUCGUCCUCGGGGUGGUCGAACCACUUGGGCCGGACCACCCAUAUGAAGUCUAGGCCGGAGAGUUCCAGCCCAACGGCGACUUCCUCCAGCUGGGCCCGGCUGAGCUCGGCCUGCGAGCCGAACGCGACGUAGAGGACGGGUCUGUCCAUGGCGAGCCUGGAGUCGAGCCAAUCCAAGAUCUCCCGGUCGAUAUCCGUCGUCGUAGCCUGCACUGGUUGUUCAGCGGAGGAGGCGAGGCACAAGGGACCGACGGGCCACAUCUUGGCCUGCGGGACGGAGCGGUUCCAGAGGUCGACGUAGCACGACUCGAGCGCGUCGAAGGUGUUCGCGAUAAUGCCUGCGCUGGUGUGCAUGCAUGUGGAGCUCUGGCACACGAAGUCCCAGAGCGGGCCGGACGGGGCCGGGUCGUCGAAGGGCGGGUGGAGGUCGGAUUGCGUGAGGCGGAGAUCACCGCCGGACACGCCGUGGAGCGGGAACGGCUCGGACGGCGAGGCCACCUGCGAGAGCGGCCUGUGCGCCAUGACCGCGUGGGCGACGUAGGAGGCGAAGGCGCUGAAGCCACAGGUGACGAGCCGCGGCACGGCGAGCUCGUCCGCGGCUUGCUUGGCCCAGAAGAGGAAGCCGUCGUGGACGAGCACGUCCGGCCGUGGCUCGAUGCGUGCCAGCGCGUCGGCGAACGCCGGCCCGAGCGCGUCCGCCACCGCGUAGAUAAAGUCCCCGAAGCAGGAGGACGCGGAGGGUAGCUCGUCCAUGCUCUGCGGGGCGUCCUCCGAGGGGAAGGGUAGCUCGACGAAGGCGGCGGGAGUGCCGGCGAGGGAGGCGCGGAGGAAGGGCGCGUUGCGCGGGGUGGUGAAGAAGGUGAUCGACGAGGCGAGGCCGCGGUCCAGGAGGAGGCGGGCCAGGUGGAUGAGCGGCAUGGCGUGGCCCUUCGCCAUGAAGGGGAACAUGGCUACGUGACGGAGCGGCGGCGGCGGCGCCAUGGCCGGUGGUGCUGUGCUGUGAAGCUCUUGGUGCCUAGCUUCAAGUGCGAAUGUUAAGUGUUUGUAGAAAGCUCACUGUCUCGUUUCGUCCGCGGGGUAGUCGCUACUCGCUAUAUAACUCCUCAAGGCUUCCUGUCAAAGCCGGGAGUACUGAAAUGCAUCGGAUGCCUUUCGGAUGUGUGGAGCACACACACGCUUAGGAUAGCCUUUUAUUCGUAGGCAACUGUCCUCUGUACUCUUGAUGACUUCGUAACUUGUGAGCCUUGAACCUUCCUCCGUCAGUAUCGCAAUGUCUAUUUAGUUGGUUCGCCUAUGCUGACCAACGGGCAACAUACCUCACUCGUCGUGUAAUCCUCCGAUUCAUAAAAAUGUCAUCGGGAGGAGUACCAAUUUCAGCUUCUGCAGGUCUCGCGGGCCACCACAUGCAAUGCAUGCAUCACGUCUUAGAUUCAGUCAGGUU